rnacentral:tRNA from 1 species
UAUAUUUUAGUGUACGAAGCACGCAAGUUUUUGAUACUUUUAGAAAUAGUUUAAUUCUAUUAAAUAUAA